AAGUCGUAACAAGGUUUCCGUAGGUGAACCUGCGGAAGGAUCAUUAUCGAGUCUUUGAACGGGUUGUCGCUGGUCUUUAUUUGUAUAAAGGCAAUGUGCACGCCUGGCUCAAUCCAACUCUUAAACCCCUGUGCACUUACUGUGGACUGUAAUGGAUGGCGACAGCCGUCUAUAAGGUCUGCAUUUAUUAUAAACUCUUAAAAGUAAUUGAAUGUAUACUGCGAUAUAUAACGCAUCUAUAUACAACUUUCAGCAACGGAUCUCUUGGCUCUC
rnacentral:misc_RNA from 1 species